UACGAAGGGUGCAAGCGUUACUCGGAAUUACUGGGCGUAAAGCGUGCGUAGGUGGUGAGUUAAGUCUGUCGUGAAAGCCCCGGGCUCAACCUGGGAAUGGCGAUGGAUACUGGCUCGCUAGAGUGCGGUAGAGGAGACUGGAAUUCCUGGGUGUAGCGGUGGAAUGACGCAGAUAUCAGGAGGAACACCGAGUGGCGAAGG
rnacentral:rRNA from 1 species